rnacentral:rRNA from 1 species
UUAGUUGGCGGGACGGGUGAGUAACGGCGUGAGCACCUAGCCUUUCGUAGAGGGGGAGUAACGUUUGGAACGAACGCUAAUACGCAUGACAUUAUCUUAUCGCAUGGUAGGAUAAUCAAAGGAGCAAUCCGCUGAAAGAUGGGCUCGCGUCCGAUUAGGUAGUUGGUGGGGUAACGGCCCACCAAGCCGACGAUCGGUAGCCGGACUGAGAGGUUGGACGGCCACAUUGGGACUGAGACACGGCCCAGACUCCUACGGGAGGCAGCAGUAAGGGACAUUGGUCAAUGGGGGAAACCCUGAACCAGCAACGCCGCGUGAGGGAAGACGGUUUUCGGAUUGUAAACCUCUGUCCUCUGUGAAGAUGAUGACGGUAGCAGAGGAGGAAGCUCCGGCUAACUACGUG